rnacentral:rRNA from 1 species
UACGUAGGGUGCGAGCGUUAAUCGGAAUUAUUGGGCGUAAAGCGUGCGUAGGCGGUUCGUUAAGUGCGUCGUGAAAGCCCCGGGCUCAACCUGGGAAUGGCGAUGGAAACUGGCGGGCUGGAGUAUGGCAGAGGGGGGGUGGAAUUCCGCGUGUAGCAGUGAAAUGCGUAGAGAUGCGGAGGAACACCGAUGGCGAAGGCAGCCCCCCUGGGCCAAUACUGACGCUCAGGCACGAAAGCGUGGGGAGCAAACAGG